UUUCCUCAUAAGGUGGAAAAUGGCGUGGAACACUCUUAGCCAUGAUUCUCCGGUACACAGGUGAUUAUGAGUCAGCCUUGGCACUGCGGAACUCCACUUCAGGAAUGGAACCUGGUUUGAACUUUGGUGCUGGGAAGAGAGGAGAGAAAUUUUCCCUGAAAAUCUGUAUCUCAAAACUGGAUCUCAGUCUGAGGUGGAGGUUAAACCUGGAGCAGUGA
rnacentral:lncRNA from 1 species